ACCAUGCCCGCGUCUAGACUGCAAUUGAAGGAAGCGGCUGCUCCUCAAUGGCCUCGGGGCUCAGUGGGUUCGGUUGUGAGUAGGAAGACGCUAGCGGGUUAGAGCCGGGGUGAGGUAUUUGCUAGAAGGUGGUGUUCCUCGGGAGCUUGAGUGUCACCGCUGUGACAGCAUCCGUGGCCUCCGGUCUCCAUCUUCUGCUGGUAUACAGAGGGUUCCUGGAGCCGCUGAGUGGAGACCAGGUUGAGAUUCCCCACGUGUCUCUCUUCCCUCUCAGUGAAGAAGGGAGGACCAUGUCACUAGACUUUGGCAGUGUGGCCCUGCAGACGCAAAAUGAAGACGAAGAAUUUGACAAAGAAGACUAUGAAAGGGAGAAAGAGGUAAGUUAUUCAGAAGAAUUCUAAACCCGAUCUUAAACAAUUUUAUAUUCUAACCAAAAUUAUAUCAUUUUGUGUCAUUUCAAAGGUCUUUUCCCCUACCCUGAAACUUGAUCGGCAUUUUAAAUGGUAGAUGAGUGGAAGGCUUCCUUUUUUUGAGACAAGAAUAAAACACAACUGUGUAUGAUGCCAUCAGUUAAAUGGUUAGAUUCUUUAAGAUCUUUUCAUUUAUGAGGUAGUGGUUGAUCUUGGAGGCAGAGAUGUACUUGCAUGGGCAAGUCAGCAAGAUU
rnacentral:lncRNA from 1 species